GCCAUAUACAGAAUAUCUUUGUUAAAAUACAUAUAAUUUAGUGCCUCAAUUAUCUUAAUUCCUUAUAGAUCACCUUAUAUGUCUACAAAAUAAUGUUACAGGAAUGCUCAUCUUAUUUGUUUCCAACUACCAGAAACAUCAAGCAAAAAUCCACUUUUUUAUGUGCAAUGAAAUGGAAUGCCCCUACAUAAGAUGAUUAACAAGUAAUUAAUUUUUGAUUACUUAAUUAAUUAUGUGUUCAAAACAUGCAUUGAAUUUGCUUCUCUGGUACCAUGCCUAGCCAUCGCCUAGUCCCAUAGUUAAUCUACUGUACAUACUUGAACCCCGUAUUCAACACCAACAUUAUUGGUAGUGAAUACGGGGCCUCCCUGAUGAUUUCCUGCUUCCUUCGCGGUUAUGCUACUGCUCUGCCUCUGAGCUAGAUAUAUGCUGUAGUUUGAACCUACAGUACCAGAGUAAUCUGUGGUGAAAAGCUACACAAAUCUGUCUACCUGGUUUUCCUACAAAGCUAAGAUCCAGAACAGUAUGUCCUGUGCGGAGAGAUCAAGCCUGCAAACUGCCAUGAAGCAUAUAGCAGUGUUGGUUCUCAUUUCAUUUGCAGCACUCCUUUUGCACUUCUUAACUUUUCAAACAAUUAAUUUUCAUAAAUGCAGCUCAAAUACAGUAGCUGUCAUUUUCUUGUCCUUUUUUGGCCCUGGCCUGGCUUUUCUGGUCUUAGCAGUUGGUUUGCAAAAACGACGCAUUUUUUGUAACCUGCCAUCCACACUUCUGUGGGGUCCUGGACAAACAUUCUUCUGGAAGAGUAUCUUUAUGUCUGUCUACCCCUCCUUGUACUGGGUGGCCAUGCUGAUGAUAGACGGUCAAUACUACAGGGGAUACUCAAUGUGCAAGGAACCUGACAGAAGAGAUUAUUUUGAUUUUGGACAUGAUAAGGUAGAAGAAUUUCAUGUUAAAUCUCAGAUGAUAGGAUUGAUUCUGAUCCUGCUCCUUGCUUCCCUGGUUCUGCUGUACUUCAUCAUUGAGCGCUGCUGCAGGCCUGUGGCCUGGCGGCUGGAGGAACAACGUGCACUUGCCCUCCAGAAAGAGCAAGAUGAGUGUGUUGCGAGGUUUGCCCUGGCCUUGGCCAAGCGUACAGUUGCCCGGCAGGAAGAACACCUCUACGAAACCCCUCUCCAACAGCAGCCUAACAUUGCAGGUCCUGCAAUACCGGCCAGUGUACCCAGAAGCCUUACCGGAUAUGAUGUCGUCCACAUAAUCAACCACCCACCAGUUAAUACACUUUAUUGCUAAAAUGAAUGAUCAAAACAAUUAAACAAAUGAGUUCUA